rnacentral:rRNA from 1 species
CGAAUGCUGACAUAAGUAACGAUAAAGCGGGUGAAAAGCCCGCUCGCCGGAAGACCAAGGGUUCCUGUCCAACGUUAAUCGGGGCAGGGUGAGUCGACCCCUAAGGCGAGGCCGAAAGGCGUAGUCGAUGGGAAACAGGUUAAUAUUCCUGUACUUGGUGUUACUGCGAAGGGGGGACGGAGAAGGCUAUGUUGGCCGGGCGACGGUUGUCCCGGUUUAAGCGUGUAGGCUGGUUUUCCAGGCAAAUCCGGAAAAUCAAGGCUGAGGCGUGAUGACGAGGCACUACGGUGCUGAAGCAACAAAUGCCCUGCUUCCAGGAAAAGCCUCUAAGCAUCAGGUAACAUCAAAUCGUACCCCAAACCGACACAGGUGGUCAGGUAGAGAAUACCAAGGCGCUUGAGAGAACUCGGGUGAAGGAACUAGGCAAAAUGGUGCCGUAACUUCGGGAGAAGGCACGCUGAUAUGUAGGUGAAGCGACUUGCUCGUGGAGCUGAAAUCAGUCGAAGAUACCAGCUGGCUGCAACUGUUUAU